GACGAACGCUGGCGGCGUGCUUAACACAUGCAAGUCGAACGGAAAGGCCCUGCUUUUGUGGGGUGCUCGAGUGGCGAACGGGUGAGUAACACGUGAGUAACCUGCCCUUGACUUUGGGAUAACUUCAGGAAACUGGGGCUAAUACCGGAUAGGAGCUCCUGCUGCAUGGUGGGGGUUGGAAAGUUUCGGCGGUUGGGGAUGGACUCGCGGCCUAUCAGCUUGUUGGUGGGGUAGUGGCUUACCAAGGCUUUGACGGGUAGCCGGCCUGAGAGGGUGACCGGCCACAUUGGGACUGAGGUACGGCCCAGACUCCUACGGGAGGCAGCAGUGGGGAAUAUUGCACAAUGGGCGGAAGCCUGAUGCAGCAACGCCGCGUGCGGGAUGCCGGCCUUCGGGUUGUAAACCGCUUUCGCCUGUGACGAAGCGUGAGUGACGGUAAUGGGUAAAGAAGCACCGGCUAACUACGUG
rnacentral:rRNA from 1 species